UCGUUUUCCCAAAGGAUAGAAUCCCAAAUUGAUCUCUCCUCCAUCACAGAUUGCUCAUUUCUUCUUCAUCGACUUUGUCUUCUCCACAUCAUUCGUGUUCCAGGAUCUGUUCCCAUUUGCGUUCGCAUUCCAACAUCUGUUCUAGAAUCUCUUCGUUUUCCAAUUUCUAAAAAUUCACUUCCAUGUUCCAGAAUCUGUUUGAGCAUCGACUUCUCCACAUCAUUCCAUUCGAGCAACAUUAAUCCAUGUCUAACUUCUUCUCCAUCAUUUCUAACAUUGUAAAUGGGAUGGGAAGGCCUUCUCUAGCAACCAUACAUGAGAACAUAAGGCAGCUUCUUGGAGAGAAAUCAGCCUCCUUGAUUUGAGCAGCUAGUCAAUUUGUCUCCACUCUUGAUCCAAAGGAGAGAUUAACAGCACUGCACAUCUAAGCUCGUCGGGUUCUCGAGUCGCUAGACUUGUAUUAAAUCUGAAAAAUGGUAAUGUUUCUUUAGAUUCUGGCAUUGCAUUAAUAAACUCUUCCUGAUGUCUUCGAGUAACUGGAUUCAUAUCUACGGAGUUCAUGUGCAGCGUUUGAUGUU